UACGUGAGGGGCAAACGUUGUUCGGUGUCACUGGGCUUAAAGGGCGCGUAGGUGGCUGUGUAAGUAAGGUGUGAAAGCCCUCGGCUUACCCGGGGAAUUGCGCCUUAAACUACAUGGCUUGAGGGUCAGAGAGGUUGGAGGAACUCCAGGUGUAGCGGUGAAAUGCGUAGAUAUCUGGGGGAAGGCCGGAGGCGAAGGCGUCCAACUGGCUGAUUCCUGACACUGAGGCGCGAAAGGCGUGGGGGAGCAAACAGGG
rnacentral:rRNA from 1 species